GGAAUCUUCCACAAUGGACGCAAGUCUGAUGGAGCAACGCCGCGUGAGUGAAGAAGGUUUUCGGACCGUAAAGCUCUGUUGUUGGUGAAGAAGGAUAGAGGUAGUAACUGGCCUUUAUUUGACGGUAAUCAACCAGAAAGUCACGGCUAACUACGUGCCAGCAGCCGCGGUAAUACGUAGGUGGCAAGCGUUGUCCGGAUUUAUUGGGCGUAAAGCGAGCGCAGGCGGAAGAAUAAGUCUGAUGUGAAAGCCCUCGGCUUAACCGAGGAAUUGCAUCGGAAACUGUUUUCUUGAGUGCAGAAGAGGAGAGUAGAACUCCAUGUGUAGCGGUGGAAUGCGUAGAUAUAUGGAAGAAUACCAGUGGCGAAGGCGGCUCUCUGGUCUGCAACUGACGCUGAGGCUCGAAAGCAUGGGUAGCGAACAGGAUUAGAUACCCUGGUAGUCCAUGCCGUAAACGAUGAGUGCUAAGUGUUGGGAGGCUUCCGCCUCUCAGUGCUGCAGCUAACGCAUUAAGCACUCCGCCUGGGGGAGUACGACCGCAAGGUUGAA
rnacentral:rRNA from 1 species